rnacentral:rRNA from 1 species
UACGGAGGAUCCAAGCGUCAUCCGGAUUUAUUGGGUUUAAAGGGAGCGUAGGCGGCCUGUUAAGUCAGGGGUGAAAGACGAUGGCUCAACCAUCGCAGUGCCUUCGAUACUGAUGGGCUUGAAUGUAGUUGAGGUGGGCGGAAUGUGACAAGUAGCGGUGAAAUGCAUAGAUAUGUCACAGAACACCGAUUGCGAAGGCAGCUCACUAAACUAUGAUUGACGCUGAGGCUCGAAAGCGUGGGGAUCAAACAGG